GACGAACGCUGGCGGCGUGCCUAAUACAUGCAAGUAGAACGCACAGUUUAUACCGUAGCUUGCUACACCAUAGACUGUGAGUUGCGAACGGGUGAGUAACGCGUAGGUAACCUGCCUGGUAGCGGGGGAUAACUAUUGGAAACGAUAGCUAAUACCGCAUAAUAUUGAUUAUUGCAUGGUAAUUGAUUGAAAGAUGCUAUUGCAUCACUACCAGAUGGACCUGCGUUGUAUUAGCUAGUAGGUGAGGUAACGGCUCACCUAGGCGACGAUACAUAGCCGACCUGAGAGGGUGAUCGGCCACACUGGGACUGAGACACGGCCCAGACUCCUACGGGAGGCAGCAGUAGGGAAUCUUCGGCAAUGGACGAAAGUCUGACCGAGCAACGCCGCGUGAGUGAAGAAGGUUUUCGGAUCGUAAAGCUCUGUUGUAAGGGAAGAACGGGUGUGAGAGUGGAAAGUUCACACUGUGACGGUAUCUUACCAGAAAGGGACGGCUAACUACGUG
rnacentral:rRNA from 1 species